rnacentral:rRNA from 1 species
AGUCGAGCGGACCUUCGGGUCAGCGGCGGACGGGUGAGGAACACGUGAGUGAUCGGGCUGUGAGUGGGGGAUAUCGGGCCGAAAGGCGCGGCAAUCCCGCAUACGUUCCGGGGAACCGGAAGAAAGCUUGGCAACAGGCGCUCACAGGGGAGCUCGCGGCCCAUUAGCUAGUUGGGGGGGUAAGGGCCUCCCAAGGCGACGAUGGGUAGCCGGCCUGAGAGGGUGAACGGCCACACUGGGACUGAGACACGGCCCAGACUCCUACGGGAGGCAGCAGUAGGGAAUCUUCCACAAUGGGCGCAAGCCUGAUGGAGCAACGCCGCGUGAGUGAAGACGGCCUUCGGGUUGUAAAGCUCUGUCUGUCGGGACGAAGACCGGCCCGGAAGGGCCGGGGAGCCGGUACCGACGGAGGAAGCCCCUGCAAACUACGUGCCAGCAGCCGCGGUAAGACGUAGGGGGCAAGCGUUGUCCGGAAUUACUGGGCGUAAAGGGCGUGUAGGCGGUGCGAUACGUAGCGGUUUUAAGCCUCCGGCUCACCCGGAGGAGGGCGGCUAAACGGUCGCGCUAGAGGGCAGGAGAGGUGCGUGGAAUUCCUGGUGGAGCGGUGAAAUGCGUAGAGAUCAGGAAGAACACCCGUGGCGAAGGCGGCGCACUGG